rnacentral:tRNA from 1 species
GUGGGGUUGUGGCUCAGUGGUAGAGUGCUCGCCUGGCACGGGCGGGACCUGGGUUCGAUCCUCAGCACCACA